CCUACGGGAGGCAGCAGUGAGGAAUAUUGGUCAAUGGGCGCGAGCCUGAACCAGCCAAGUCGCGUGAGGGAAGACGGUCCUAUGGAUUGUAAACCUCUUUUGUCGGGGAGCAAAGGACGCCACGCGUGGCGUUCUGAGAGUACCCGAAGAAAAAGCAUCGGCUAACUCCGUGCCAGCAGCCGCGGUAAUACGGGGGAUGCGAGCGUUAUCCGGAUUUAUUGGGUUUAAAGGGUGCGCAGGCGGAAGAUUAAGUCAGCGGUAAAAUUGGGGGGCUCAACCUCUUCGAGCCGUUGAAACUGGUUUUCUUGAGUGAGUGAGAAGUAUGCGGAAUGCGUGGUGUAGCGGUGAAAUGCAUAGAUAUCACGAAGAACUCCGAUUGCGAAGGCAGCAUACCGGCGCUCAACUGACGCUGAUGCACGAAAGUGUGGGUAUCGAACAGGAUUAGAUACCCUAGUAGUC
rnacentral:rRNA from 1 species